GCAACAGGUGUGGAAAGGAUUCCUAUCCCCUGCCUUAUGCAGGGAAUAGCAGAGACCUUUCAAGAGGAACUCAAGCCAUGUGAACCACAAAGCAGAGCACCUCUGGGAAUCCAUCCGUCCUUCAGAAUCGUUGAAAUCAAGACUGUGUGCAGCUGAUCACCCAGGGUUGCUGAGGCUCGAACUCUGGUCCCCGUGUGUGCAGAGCAAGCCCUCGCUGCCUGAGCCGUCUCCACAGCCCAUGAAGUAGUCACUUUGGCUCAGUGAUGAAAAGGCGAGGAUCCCCAGCUACCCGGAAGUCUGUAGCUUAGAGAGAACUGUCCAAUGACUUCAGCAGGCUUCUACUGUUCCUGCCUGUAUUCCAAUUACCUUCUUCCUAAUGAAACACGCUCUGUUCUGUGGAGAGUCGGUACAUCUGAAUGAACCCCUCCACCCCACAUAGUACUACUGCAUUUCUUUUCCUUUUGAGGAGCUUUGUAUCUUUUCUUUCUCAAAACAGAACUGGUAAUCCCAUCUUGACUCUCAUGCAGGUCUAAGCAGAGCCCGCUCAGCUGGUCUUGCAAUGAAUCGCCAUGCUGGAAAGUUGAAGCCCCACAAUCUGACUGUUUUAUGGAGAGGCCCUGGGCUAUCUUUUCUUUCCUUUUUUUUUUCCCACCUCUGGAAAUACAAUAGAGAAACCCUUUAGAAUUCUGUUAGUUUGUUUGGAUUACGCUGAAAAAAGGAAGUACCAUGAAUAAGAGUUAAUCACACUAUCGACACCAGUCAGGCUCCUGUAGCCACAGUGACUUUAAAUCACUAUACACUGCUUGGGAAAAAAAAUGAGCCCACAGUGGACACCAAGAGAUGCUGGAGUAUCGUGACAUUUCUCCGAAUGUAUUCUGACAAAAAGUGAGCAGAAAGGGGAAUCUCUGUGGUUAAUUACGCCACCCCUCUCUUGGUGAACUAGACUGUCCUCUGGAGCUUCUCGGGCAUCGCCAGGAAGAACUUUGUUCUUUGUUGUUUCCUUUGUUAAUGACUCAUGGACGUGGAAGCUUAGAACACAUUUCAGGAAAUUACACAUCUCUGGACAGCCAUGUCACGCCACAGCUAUGCUUACCUGGACUCACUCCCCAGGAAGAACCCACAGUCAGCUAACUAGGAUCUUCCUCCCAAAGUCAAACUUGAACACAAACUCACUAGCUGUGCUGAUGCUCCAAGACCAGCGCGUUGAUCUGCAUCCUGCACACGUGAAAGAGCCAAG